AUAGUAUGCAUUGUAUCUUUUUAUAAAGGUGAAAAUUAAAGAAAGAUAAAGAUUUUUGAUAAUAUAAAUAAUUUAUAUUUUUAUGAAAAUCUGUCAUAUAUAUCGUCUGGUAGAAAUGGACAAUGUAUAAAUAUUCCACAUUGUGAAAAUUAUAAUGGUCUAAUCUCAUGGUUUGUGUUGUAAAAAUAAAUACUGUGAUGGAAUAUUUAAAGAACCUGUUAAAAAAAGAAAAUUCAGGAACCGAAGCACAUGUAAAGGAAGCAAAAACUCAGGAACAAGCACAAUUGCUCAACUUUUGUCUGUAGAAGAUAAAAUCGAGAUAAAGAUCCGAGAAUCCACUGCAUUGUGUUUCUUUGAAAUGAAAAUAGUGAAGGAAGAUUUGACUCUAGUCUUCUUAAAUGUGAAAAAAUUCAUCCAAUAUGCACACUGUCACUGCACAUACUGUCAAUGUACACACUUCAAGAUGGGCAAUUUCAAGAUAUUAUGCAGAAGCACGAUCGUUAACUUUAAAGCCAUUCUAUUCUAUCAUCUUUAAACGUAAUGAAACGAAAAGAAUUGAAAUUUGUGAAUAUUAAUUUAGAUGAAAAUGAUUUAAGCGUAUCAAAAGAACAUUAACAUUAACGUAUCACGUAUCACAAGAUGAUAAUAUAACAAGAUAAAAUGGUAAAGCAUUGAUACAGAUGUUUCGAGAUGAUACUUUAACACUUGAAAAUUUAAAUGGAAAUAGAUUUGGAUUCAAGGACUCAAUGUAGAAUCUACAAUUUUACCAUACAGUAUCAUUGAAAAUUUUGAAGUUGGAUGUGAUCGUUCCGUAUUAGAGAAUAAUAUGAUAUCUAUUUAUAUUUUUAUAUUUAACAUUAAUAUUCAAUGAUAGGCAAUGAUAGAGAUUGGCACGGUGAAAUUAAAUAGAAGUUUGAAAAUGAUAUGGUAAGCGAUAUGUAAUUGAAGAAAUGAGUCAUGGAUAAAAAUUGAAGAUAAAUUUAUGAGCGAAAAUAAAUAUAAAUCUGAGGAUAUCUUCGUUAACAGUAUUCCUAUGUAUUUAGAAGCAUUGAAAAAAAAAAAAAAAAAAGAAAAAGAAA
rnacentral:lncRNA from 1 species